AGGUCGAAGAGCUUCGCGUCCUCCUGUGGUCGCUGCGGAGGCGUCGCCCCGACCAAGGCCUCAGGCAGGCGUCCACCGACCUCUUGGAAACCCUCAGUGAGUUCCCGGGUUUCCAGCUGUGUGGCCUCUUCACGCUGGGCAGACCUUGCGUGGUGGAUAUCUGCAGCUUCAUGGCAACCUAUCUCAUAAUCCUGCUCCAGUUCCUUGCCUCAGAGCGCUAGACGUCGAUCUACGGGCGUCAAUUAGGGGGGGGGGUUGGAGGAGGGAAUUGCCUCCUUCAAAAUCUGUUUGCCUCCCUCAUAAUCUGGUUUAAGGGGACCGUCUGCUCAUUUUUCGGCAAAAAUUGCCCUUCUUGCCGAAUUCGAGUUAAAUGCAUUUGCAAGUUAUAUGGCCUCCGAAUCUCCCCUGAAAAUUUCUUGUGUGGAAGCAGCCACCCUCGAUGUCCACCGAAAUUUUAUGAUUUUUCAACUUAACCUAGAAAAUCGGUAAUUAUGACGUAAUGAUUAGAUGUAACAAAAAAUAAGAUUAUUUUCUGAAAGCUUAUAAAAUUUCACAUAAAAAGAGACCAGCCUUCAUUUUUUUCGGGAUAAUUAAAAAAAUCUGGGAAGCUUUCAAAAAACAAUGACGAAGAACUUUUAAUACAAAUAAACAUGACAUGCCAUUUAUAUGAAGUAUUUUCUUUUUAUGUUCUAAUCAUAUUCCGUCAGUUCCGUCUA